CAUGGCCUUGCCUGAAAAUAGUGCUGGGCUAAAAAUUUCUGAGGAAAAAUUGGGUAGUAUUUGCUUCUGAAUUUACUCCUGUGACUGAGGAGCCCUCCUGAGCGAAGUGGGCCCCUAAGCAUGCUGCUGUGGUGCACGUUCAGUGCUGUGGGGUACCUUAGGUUCUGUGUAGAGCGGUUCAUUUCAAAACAGACAGUUACCACACAGUAGCAGCUGAAACACUCUUGGAACAGUUUCUCCAUGUUGAAGAAGACAACAGCUUUGGUGUGUUGAGCAGCAAAUGAAGUGUCGAAGUCCCAAAUUCCCAAUUCCGCCAACUUUGCGGCCAUUGAUCCGCGGGAGUUCGGAGUUGGACGUCAAAGGUAAGAACGGAGCAUUCUGCGAUUAUUCGAUACCCAGGGAAAAAC
rnacentral:lncRNA from 1 species